GUGGGGUUAGCUCAGUGGUAGAGCGUUCGAUUGCAGUUCGAAUGGUCACCUGUUCAAUCCAGGUACUCCACU